GAGUACGUUCCCCUUCAAUACGUUAUAGGAAAAGAACUAAUGGACCUAUCAGAUGAUGAAGUUUUUGUAGAAUCCAAUAAUGAGAACAAUAUGGACAAUAUAAUGACGUUGGAAGAUGACAUCUUUGGAGGAAAUAGUGCGAUUGCGCCUGAGGUGGGUAUGAAAUUCAAAGAUGAAAAAGAGUUGUUUGAAUUUUACAAGAGGUAUGCAUAUAAGGUAGGCUUUUCGGUGAGGAGAAGGAAUUCUAGAAAGGGAGGAUGGAGUAUUGAGAUACAUUACAUUGAUAUGUUGCCGUGAGGGAUGAAGAAGCAGUAAUACAAGCUCUUCUUUGAAACUGCAACCAACAAUUCAAAUAAGUUGCAAAGCAAGGUUGACUGCUUUUUCAGAUAUUCAUGGAAUAUGAAAAAUUUGUACUGUCUAUCUCGAACACGAUCAUAAAACAAGUCAUUCGAAUUCAAGGUUAUAUCGAUGCAAUUGAGAAUUGAGUGCAAAUGUUAAACGUAAGUUUGAAGUGAACGAUAUGGCCGGAAUUUCUUUGCACAAGAGCUACAAUUUUGCAGUUAUUGAAGCAGAUAGAUACGAGAAUAUGACUUGCGUGGAAAGGGAUUGUCAAAAUUAUGUUGAGCAAGUGAGGCGAUUGAGACUUGGUUAGGGAAAUGUCGUGGCAAUACAAUCGUACUUUUCACAAAUGCAAGCAUGAUGCUUGGGAUUUUUCUUUUGUAUGGACUUAGAUAAAGAGUCAUGACUUAAGAAUCUUUUUUGGGCAGAUAAUAGGUGUAGGCAAGCAUAUAAAGAGUUUGGGAAUGCAGUGACGUUUGAUACGACUUAUCUCACUAAUAAAUAUGACAUGCCUUUUACCUCUUUUUUCGGAGUAAAU
rnacentral:lncRNA from 1 species